rnacentral:rRNA from 1 species
UCCGAAUGGGGGAACCCAACAUCUUUAAUAGGAUGUUACGAUUGUGUGAAUACAUAGCACAUUCGAGGUAGACGCAGAGAACUGAAACAUCUAAGUACCUGCAGGAAGAGAAAGAAAAUUCGAUUCCCUGAGUAGCGGCGAGCGAAACGGGAAAAGCCCAAACCAGCAAGCUUGCUUGUUGGGGUUGUAGGACUCCAAUAUGGUAGUUCUUUCAGAUAGUCGAAUGACUUGGAAAAGUCAGUCAAAGAGGGUAAAAACCCCGUAGACGAAAUGUGGAAGACACCUAGGAGGAUCCUGAGUACGGCGGAACACGAGAAAUUCCGUCGGAAUCCGGGAGGACCAUCUCCCAAGGCUAAAUACUCCCUAGUGACCGAUAGUGAACCAGUACCGUGAGGGAAAGGUGAAAAGCACCCCGGAAGGGGAGUGAAAUAGAACCUGAAACCGUGUGCCUACAACAAGUCAAAGCCCGUUAAUGGGUGAUGGCGUGCCUUUUGUAGAAUGAACCGGCGAGUUACGAUUGCAUGCGAGGUUAAGUUGAAGAGACGGAGCCGCAGCGAAAGCGAGUCUGAAUAGGGCGUUUGAGUAUGUAGUCGUAGACCCGAAACCAUGUGAUCUACCCAUGUCCAGGUUGAAGGUGCGGUAAAACGCACUGGAGGACCGAACCCACGUACGUUGAAAAGUGCGGGGAUGAGGUGUGGGUAGCGGAGAAAUUCCAAACGAACUUGGAGAUAGCUGGUUCUCUCCGAAAUAGCUUUAGGGCUAGCCUCGGAAUU